CUACGGGUGGCACCAGUGAGGAAUAUUGCGCAAUGGGCGAAAGCCUGACGCAGCGACGCCGCGUGGGGGAUGAAGGUCUUCGGAUUGUAAACCCCUUUCGGGAGGGAAGAUGGGACGAGCAAUCGUCCGGACGGUACCUCCAGAAGCAGCCACGGCUAACUUCGUGCCAGCAGCCGCGGUAAUACGAAGGUGGCAAGCGUUGUUCGGAUUUACUGGGCGUAAAGGGAGCGUAGGCGGUUGGUAAGCCCUCCGGGAAAUCUUCGGGCUUAACCCGGAAAGGUCGGAGGGGACUGCCUGGCUAGAGGACGGGAGCGGAGCGCGGAAUUCCCGGUGUAGCGGUGAAAUGCGUAGAGAUCGGGAGGAAGGCCGGUGGCGAAGGCGGCGCUCUGGAACGUUCCUGACGCUGAGGCUCGAAAGCGUGGGGAGCAAACAGGAUUAGAUACCCCGCGUAGUC
rnacentral:rRNA from 1 species